GCGGCGCACGGGUGAGUAACACGUAGGUAAUCUGCCCCCAGGUGGUGGAUAACCUUCCGAAAGGAGGGCUAAUACAGCAUGAGACACGAUUUCGCAAGGAAUUGAGGUCAAAGCCGGCCAAUUCAUGAAAGCUGGCGCCAGGGGAUGAGCCUGCGGCCCAUCAGCUUGUUGGUAGGGUAAUGGCCUACCAAGGCGAAGACGGGUAGCUGGUCUGAGAGGAUGAUCAGCCACACUGGAACUGAGACACGGUCCAGACUCCUACGGGAGGCAGCAGUGGGGAAUCUUGCGCAAUGGGCGAAAGCCUGACGCAGCGACGCCGCGUGAGUGAUGAAGGCCUUCGGGUUGUAAAGCUCUGUGGAGAGGGACGAAUAAGCGUUGGCUAAUAUCCAGCGUGAUGACGGUACCUUUUUAGCAAGCACCGGCUAACUCUGUGCCAGCAGCCGCGGUAA
rnacentral:rRNA from 1 species